UGGGGAAUAUUGGGCAAUGGGCGAAAGCCUGACCCAGCCACGCCGCGUGAGUGAUGAAGGCCUUCGGGUCGUAAAGCUCUGUGGGGAGGGACGAAUAAGGUGCGUGCUAACACCACGCGCGUUUGACGGUACCUCCUUAGCAAGCACCGGCUAACCCUGUGCCAGCAGCCGCGGUAAUACAGGGGGUGCAAACGUUGCUCGGAAUCAUUGGGCGUAAAGCGCGCGUAGGCGGUCGCUUAAGUCGGAUGUGAAAGCCCUUGGCUUAACUGAGGAAGUGCAUCCGAAACUGAGCAGCUAGAGUACGAAAGAGGGUCGCGGAAUUCCCGGUGUAGAGGUGAAAUUCGUAGAUAUCGGGAGGAACACCGGUGGCGAAGGCGGCGAUCUGGGUCGACACUGACGCUGAGGCGCGAAAGCGUGGGGAGCAAACAG
rnacentral:rRNA from 1 species